rnacentral:rRNA from 1 species
AUUGAACGCUGGCGGCAUGCCUUACACAUGCAAGUCGAACGGUAACAGGUCUUCGGAUGCUGACGAGUGGCGAACGGGUGAGUAAUACAUCGGAACGUGCCUAGUAGUGGGGGAUAACUACUCGAAAGAGUGGCUAAUACCGCAUGAGAUCUACGGAUGAAAGCAGGGGAUCGCAAGACCUUGUGCUACUAGAGCGGCCGAUGGCAGAUUAGGUAGUUGGUGGGAUAAAAGCUUACCAAGCCGACGAUCUGUAGCUGGUCUGAGAGGACGAUCAGCCACACUGGGAUUGAGACACGGCCCAGACUCCUACGGGAGGAAGCAGUGGGGAAUUUUGGACAAUGGGCGCAAGCCUGAUCCAGCAAUGCCGCGUGCAGGAUGAAGGCCUUCGGGUUGUAAACUGCUUUUGUACGGAACGAAAAGCCCUGGGUUAAUACCCUGGGGUCAUGACGGUACCGUAAGAAUAAGCACCGGCUAACUACGUGCCAGCCGCCGCCGUAAAAC